rnacentral:rRNA from 1 species
AGUGAACGCUGGCGGUAGGCCUAACACAUGCAAGUCGAACGGCAGCACAGUAAGAGCUUGCUCUUACGGGUGGCGAGUGGCGGACGGGUGAGGAAUACAUCGGAAUCUACUUUUUCGUGGGGGAUAACGUAGGGAAACUUACGCUAAUACCGCAUACGACCUACGGGUGAAAGCAGGGGAUCUUCGUACCUUGCGCGAUUGAAUGAGCCGAUGUCGGAUUAGCUAGUUGGCGGGGUAAAGGCCCACCAAGGCGACGAUCCGUAGCUGGUCGGAGAGGAUGAUCAGCCACACUGGAAGUGAGACACGGUCCAGACUCCUACGGGAGGCAGCAGUGGGGAAUAUUGGACAAUGGGCGCAAGCCUGAUCCAGUCAUACCGCGUGUGUGAAGAAGGCCUUCGGGUUGUAAAGCCCUUUUGUUGGGAAAGAAAAGCAGCAGGUUAAUACCCCGCUGUUCUGACGGUACCCAAAGAAUAAGCACCGGCUAACUUCGUG